rnacentral:lncRNA from 10 species
CUGUGCCAAGUGCAGAAUGGCCAUGACAGUCCUCUCUCCUCUCUUCACUUAUAUAGCAAUCACUUACUAAACAACACUGUGCCGAGUACAGCAGGAGCGAGAAUGAAGUCGCAUCCACGACUGUCAGUGACUCACAAUCUAAUGGAGAAGAGGACAACUUCAAAACAAUAUGGAAACCCAGCGACAGAUCUAAAUUCCCCCUGAACCCACCCCAUGCUCUCAGCCCCUCCAGCAGCAAACCCAGGCUUUGCUGAAUGAGCAGAGACAAGAGCACAAAGAAAGAAGGAAGAAUUCCAAGGAAAGAGAUUUCUCUGCUGAACCGUGGUGGUCACCACCUGCAGUGCUCUGAGAAUGGAAAAUAAAAGCCAAGUGCCUUCUGCAAGGGUGUAGCCUCAAGAGGAAACAGGGGUCAUUCCCACAUCUCCACCUCUGUACAGUCCAGAAGAGCCACUUGACCACUGUGUGAAACUUCUCUGGACUCUGCAUGUGAGAAAGACUUGCCAAUGGCAGCAACACUGUCUAUUGAUGAACAAGUUACUCCUUCAUUCCAUAAAAAGCUACAGAUUAAGGCAUGACGAACAGUCUUCAAAAGCUAUGUCAUUGGAGAUCCUAAACGCAAAGGAAGAAGGCUUGCC